rnacentral:scRNA from 1 species
GCUCGAUCAUUAUUCGCUAGACUACAUGCUAA